rnacentral:tRNA from 1 species
AGUUAAUUAGUUUACAACAAAACAUAAUCUUGUCAAGAUUAAAACAUUAAUUUAGUAUUAACUA